rnacentral:rRNA from 1 species
CACGCAGGCGGUUUUUAAGUCAGAUGUGAAAGGUACCGGCUCAACCGGUGACAUGCAUUUGAAACUGAAAGACUUGAGUAUUGGAGAGGCAAGUGGAAUUCCUAGUGUAGCGGUGAAAUGCGUAGAUAUUAGGAGGAACACCAGUGGCGAAGGCGGCUUACUGGACGGUAACUGACGUUGAGGCUCGAAAGCGUGGGGAGCAAACA